rnacentral:rRNA from 1 species
AGAGGAUCGGUGGAAUGCGAAUAAAGCUUCAUCAUAAUUAUUUAAUAUCUUUCCAAAAUUCUUUUUUUAAAUUAAUUACUAAGAUCAAUAAGAUUAAAAGAAAACCAAUGACGUAGUAACCUAUUUUAUGUCGUACCAAUUUAGCUGGCUCUGACAUAAAAACCAUAUAGUUCGUUGUAUCCAACACAAACUGAUCAUAUUCCUCAGCUGACAAUAACCCGGGCUUGGUUAAUUUUAAUUUGUUGUCUUCUAAAUUCUGAACGCCUUGUAACUCCCAUAAGACAUGCGGCAUUGCUGCAUUUGGAUAGACUAAGUUGUUCCGAUGAAGGCCUCUGGGCUGUAAACCUCUUUUAUCAAGGAAGAAGAUCUGACGGUACUUGAUGAAUAAGCCACGGCUAAUUCCGUGCCAGCAGCCGCGGUAAUACGGGAGUGGCAAGCGUUAUCCGGAAUUAUUGGGCGUAAAGCGUCCGCAGGCGGCCCUUCAAGUCUGCUGUUAAAAAGUGGAGCUUAACUCCAUCAUGGCAGUGGAAACUGUUGGGCUUGAGUGUGGUAGGGGCAGAGGGAAUUCCCGGUGUAGCGGUGAAAUGCGUAGAUAUCGGGAAGAACACCAGUGGCGAAGGCGCUCUGCUGGGCCAUAACUGACGCUCAUGGACGAAAGCCAGGGGAGCGAAAGGGAUUAGAUACCCCUGUAGUCCUGGCCGUAAACGAUGAACACUAGGUGUCGGGGGAAUCGACCCCCUCGGUGUCGUAGCCAACGCGUUAAGUGUUCCGCCUGGGGAGUACGCACGCAAGUGUGAAACUCAAAGGAAUUGACGGGGGCCCGCACAAGCGGUGGAGUAUGUGGUUUAAUUCGAUGCAACGCGAAGAACCUUACCAGGGUUUGACAUCCUGCGAAUCUCUUGGAAACAGGAGAGUGCCUUCGGGAACGCAGUGACAGGUGGUGCAUGGCUGUCGUCAGCUCGUGUCGUGAGAUGUUGGGUUAAGUCCCGCAACGAGCGCAACCCACGUCUUUAGUUGCCAGCAUUUAGUUGGGCACUCUAGCGAGACCGCCGGUGAUAAACCGGAGGAAGGUGUGGAUGACGUCAAGUCAUCAUGCCCCUUACAUCCUGGGCUACACACGUACUACAAUGCUACGGACAAAGGGCAGCAAACUCGCGAGAGCUAGCAAAUCCCAUAAACCGUGGCUCAGUUCAGAUCGUAGGCUGCAACUCGCCUACGUGAAGGCGGAAUCGCUAGUAAUCGCAGGUCAGCAUACUGCGGUGAAUACGUUCCCGGGCCUUGUACACACCGCCCGUCACACCAUGGAAGUUGGCCACGCCCGAAGCCGUUACUCCAACCCUUGUGGAGGAGGACGUCGAAGGUGGGGCUGAUGACUGGGGUGAAGUCGUAACAAGGUAUCCGUACCGGAAGGUGCGGAUG